rnacentral:lncRNA from 1 species
CCGAGUCCCCCUCCCCCUGACACCCCUGUCCCAGGGGGCGAAGAAUGGGUUGGCGGGUUGUGCUGUGGGGACUCCCAGAGGAUGUGCGGGGCAGAAGGGGAAAGAGAACCAGCCAUUUUGCUCAUCGUCAACAAACCUUGACCAAGGAAGCGUCUGCGUGUGCAAUGUGCCAUCUGAACCCUGGAGGCAUAAGCAGUAUGGUCACUGGUCCCAGCAUUGUUGGGAAGUGAAAAUGUAUCCAUGGAAAGAGAGCAGAAAGAUAAGACUACGCCCCGGGGAUAAUGAAAAAGAGAGGACUUGACUACUGAGGGAUGGAAUUCCAAGGAAGGCAGUCCUUGAUGGGGCCGAGCAGCAUAGGAAGACGGGUGCUAUCAGGCUGGGGACAGAGCCCAAGCCAAGACCCAGGUGUAUGAAUGGACAGGACCUGAGAUGACCCAGUGGGUCAAACUGUCUGACUGUGGAAGGGGAGCUGGGCAGAGAGCAGAGGUCCAGGGACAGGUCAGACUUGAAUGCCGAGGUUUGGAAUUUAGGCUUGGCCCUGUGGGUAAUGGAGAGCUAUCAGUGGGUUUCAAGCAAGACGGAGAUACCAAGUGCUGUGGCCAGCCAUGUUUCAGGAAGAUUGUUCUUGUCCACCUUUGUUUAUGUCAACCACAUUUAGAAGUAAUAAAUGUCUGAUAGGGGGUCAGGUGCGGUGGCUUGUGCCUAUAGUCCCAGCUACUCAGGAGGCUGAGGCAGGAGGAUCGCUCGAGCCCAGGGAUUCAAGGAUGCUGUGAGCUACGAUCACGUCACUGCACUCCAGCCUGGGAAACAGGGUGAGACCCAGUUUCUAAAACAAACAAACAAACAAAUGUCUGAUGGGGAUGCAUCCUCCCAAUAGAAUACUAUUCA